rnacentral:lncRNA from 1 species
CGACUGCAGAGCUCAUGGACAUCCAUCAGGAAGCCUCCAAUACCCAAACCAGGGGUAGUUGCCUAAUCCAUAUCCAUGUGGAUAGCUCUUUACUUAGGAAACCUUGAUGGCUUAUUUGGAUGACAAAGAUAUAAGAACUGGUACUGAAGCAGCCAUCUUGUGACCAUAAGGAAGAAGCCAAGAACAUCAGAACCAGUGGCCUAGCCAUUGCACAGUCAUCUAAACACACCUCUGGACUUGUU